AACAAUGGGUGUCAUUGACGGCCUGAAUAAGGACACGUCUGUGUGCUGAUGUGCCACCCAGCUGUCCUCUCAGGUAGGGAGGGACAAUGGUACCAGAGCCGCCUGUCCAUGCACAACAUGUGAUGGGGCUGGAGAUAUAAAGGAGCUGGUGAAGUGACAACAACACAACCCAGAGACUGGAUCAUCACCCGAAACUUUCCACAACCAACAGACCAGCAGCCAAGAUGAGAUCUCUGGGGCCGGUGAUUGUUUUCCUCACUGCGGCAGCAUUUCACAGCGCUCUUUCAGCGUCUUUGGAAUCUGCAGUGAAGGAGGAAACAGCCACUCAUAACGAUGGACUAACUGAGCUGCUGAAAAUAG